ACUCAACGAGCUUUUAAUUCAGAGAGGUGAGUUUCCUUUGUAAAAGCAUGCUACCCUUGAGUAGACCCUUGAGCAUUGGUGUAGCCUCAAACUUGAUUUUUAGGAGUUU
rnacentral:sRNA from 10 species